rnacentral:rRNA from 1 species
GUGGGGAAUCUUGCGCAAUGGGCGAAAGCCUGACGCAGCCAUGCCGCGUGAAUGAUGAAGGUCUUAGGAUUGUAAAAUUCUUUCACCGGGGACGAUAAUGACGGUACCCGGAGAAGAAGCUCCGGCUAACUUCGUGCCAGCAGCCGCGGUAAUACGAAGGGGGCUAGCGUUGCUCGGAAUUACUGGGCGUAAAGGGCGCGUAGGCGGACAGCUUAGUCAGAGGUGAAAGCCCAGGGCUCAACCUUGGAAUUGCCUUUGAUACUGGCUGUCUUGAGUUUGGGAGAGGUGAGUGGAACUCCGAGUGUAGAGGUGAAAUUCGUAGAUAUUCGGAAGAACACCAGUGGCGAAGGCGACUCACUGGCCCAAUACUGACGCUGAGGCGCGAAAGCGUGGGGAGCAAACAGGAUUAGAUACACUGGUAGUCC